rnacentral:rRNA from 1 species
GUGAGGAAUAUUGGUCAAUGGGCGAGAGCCUGAACCAGCCAAGUCGCGUGAAGGAAGAAGGAUCUAUGGUUCGUAAACUUCUUUUGCAGGGGAAUAAAGUGCAGGACGUGUCCUGGUUUGUAUGUACCCUGAGAAUAAGGAUCGGCUAACUCCGUGCCAGCAGCCGCGGUAAUACGGAGGAUCCGAGCGUUAUCCGGAUUUAUUGGGUUUAAAGGGUGCGUAGGUGGUUUGAUAAGUCAGCGGUGAAAGUUUGCAGCUUAACUGUAAAAAUGCCGUUGAAACUGUCGGACUUGAGUGUAAAUGAGGUAGGCGGAAUGCGUGGUGUAGCGGUGAAAUGAAUAGAUAUCACGCAGAACUCCGAUUGCGAAGGCAGCUUACUAAGCUACAACUGACACUGAAGCACGAAAGCGUGGGGAUCAAACAGGAUUAGAAACCCGAGUAGUCC